AACGAACGCUGGCGGCAGGCUUAACACAUGCAAGUCGAGCGCCCCUCCUUCAAGCGAGCUUGAAGGAUUAUUUCCUUGAAAAGAAAGAUCAUGAGAGCUUUUAAGAAGCUCUCUUGAUGGAGGGGAGCGGCAGACGGGUGAGUAACGCGUGGGAAUCUACCCAUCCCUACGGAACAACUCCGGGAAACUGGAGCUAAUACCGUAUACGCCCUUCGGGGGAAAGAUUUAUCGGGGAUGGAUGAGCCCGCGUUGGAUUAGCUAGUUGGUGGGGUAAAGGCCUACCAAGGCGACGAUCCAUAGCUGGUCUGAGAGGAUGAUCAGCCACAUUGGGACUGAGACACGGCCCAAACUCCUACGGGAGGCAGCAGUGGGGAAUAUUGGACAAUGGGCGCAAGCCUGAUCCAGCCAUGCCGCGUGAGUGAUGAAGGCCUUAGGGUUGUAAAGCUCUUUCACCGGAGAAGAU
rnacentral:rRNA from 1 species